UACAGAGGGGGCAAGCGUUAUUCGGAAUUAUUGGGCGUAAAGGGCGCGUAGGCGGCCUGGCAAGUGGAAGGUGAAAUCCCUCGGCUUAACCGAGGAACUGCCCUCCAAACUGCUUGGCUUGAGUCCGGGAGAGGUGAGUGGAAUUCCCAGUGUAGCGGUGAAAUGCGUAGAUAUUGGGAGGAACACCAGUGGCGAAGGCGGCUCACUGGACCGGAACUGACGCUGAGACGCGAAAGCUAGGGGAGCAAACGGG
rnacentral:rRNA from 1 species